UACGUAGGGUGCAGGCGUUAAUCGGAAUUACUGGGCGUAAAGCGUGCGCAGGCGGUCUUUUAAGUCAGAUGUGAAAUCCCCGGGCUUAACCUGGGAACUGCGUUUGAAACUGGAAGGCUUGAGUGUGGCAGAGGGGGGUGGAAUUCCACGUGUAGCAGUGAAAUGCGUAGAGAUGUGGAGGAACACCGAUGGCGAAGGCAGCCCCCUGGGCUAACACCGACGCUCAUGCACGAAAGCGUGGGGAGCAAACAGG
rnacentral:rRNA from 1 species